UCGCUUUGGCAGCAAAUGUACUAAAAUUGGAACAAUACAGAGAAGAUUAGCAUGGCCUCUGGGCUAGGAUGACACACAAAUUCGUGAAGUAUUCCAUAAAAAU
rnacentral:snRNA from 1 species